UCUGCAGCCACGAGAAGCAAAGUUGACAUUUCUGGAUCACUCUCCCCAGACGCGUCACUUGCCCACAAGCGGGACACGGCAGUCUCGCUGAGCCAGCUGUGCAGAGGGACAGAUGGAAGAAAGCUAGAGAUGUUGCUUCGUGCGCGCUGAAGUUGCAGAACUUGGGCUGGUUUUCUUUCUUCCCAUCCCCCCUCCUCCUGACAAACCACAUCUUGAGUCAGAUGGUCGAAAGAAAAACUCUUUCAGUUAUUUGAUAUUUGGGAACCCUCCAGGAGACCAUAACUUAUUUUUGAGGGAGGCUCCUUCUCUCCCUUUGCUGGGAACACACACACACACACACACACACACACACACACGCACGCACAGCUGUACACCAUGGUGGUUCAGGCUGCAGUGGCUCCGAAUAGAUCCCAAAGACUUUUACUGAAAAUUCCUUAUGGAUCUCUGAGAAGGCGCAGCGUUGAAAGGAUGACGGAGGGCCGCCGAUGUCAAGUACAUCUUCUUGAUGACAGGAAGCUGGAACUCCUAGUACAGCCCAAGCUGUUGGCCAAGGAGCUUCUUGAUCUUGUGGCUUCUCACUUCAAUCUGAAGGAAAAAGAGUACUUUGGAAUAGCAUUCACAGAUGAAACGGGACACUUAAACUGGCUUCAACUAGAUCGAAGAGUAUUGGAACAUGACUUCCCUAAAAAGUCGGGACCCGUGGUUUUAUACUUUUGUGUCAGGUUCUAUAUAGAAAGCAUUUCAUACCUGAAGGAUAAUGCUACCAUUGAGCUUUUCUUUCUGAACGCGAAGUCCUGCAUCUACAAGGAGCUUAUCGACGUCGACAGCGAAGUGGUGUUUGAAUUAGCUUCCUAUAUUUUACAGGAGGCAAAGGGAGAUUUUUCUAGCAAUGAAGUUGUGAGGAGUGACUUGAAGAAGCUGCCAGCCCUUCCCACCCAAGCCCUGAAGGAGCACCCUUCCCUGGCCUACUGUGAAGACAGAGUCAUUGAGCACUACAAGAAACUGAACGGUCAGACAAGAGGUCAAGCAAUCGUGAACUACAUGAGCAUCGUAGAGUCUCUCCCAACCUACGGGGUUCACUAUUAUGCAGUGAAGGACAAGCAGGGCAUACCAUGGUGGCUGGGCCUGAGCUACAAAGGGAUCUUCCAGUAUGACUACCAUGAUAAAGUGAAGCCAAGAAAGAUAUUCCAAUGGAGACAGUUGGAAAACCUGUACUUCAGAGAAAAGAAGUUUUCCGUGGAAGUUCAUGACCCACGCAGGGCCUCAGUGACAAGGAGGACGUUCGGGCACAGCGGCAUCGCGGUGCACACGUGGUAUGCAUGUCCGGCAUUGAUCAAGUCCAUCUGGGCUAUGGCCAUAAGCCAACAUCAGUUCUAUCUGGAUAGAAAGCAGAGUAAGUCCAAAAUCCAUGCAGCACGCAGCCUGAGUGAGAUCGCCAUCGACCUGACCGAGACAGGGACGCUGAAGACCUCGAAGCUGGCCAACAUGGGCAGCAAGGGGAAGAUCAUCAGUGGCAGCAGCGGCAGCCUGCUGUCUUCAGGUAGGCAGAGGCCAGCUGGAGGGACGCCCCCCUGAGCGUGGCUGGGACCCCAGAGGGGACCCAGGAAGGUGGGGAGAGCUGCAUCUGGGGAGACUGCAGGGCAAGCUGGUCCAAAGCUGGCUUUGCUUUCCAGAACAAGGUUGGGAUCCAAAUGCGAAUCUGAAAAAACUGCUCCAAGGAAUCAAAUAGUGGAAGG
rnacentral:sRNA from 1 species